rnacentral:rRNA from 1 species
AACGAACGCUGGCGGCGUGCUUAACACAUGCAAGUCGAACGCGAAAGGGAACUUCGGUCCUGAGUAAAGUGGCGCACGGGUGAGUAACGCGUAGAUAACCUGUCUUCAUGUCUGGAAUAAUACGCCGAAAGGGGUACUAAUACCGGAUAUUCUUGCUUUUCAUAAGUUAUGCAAGCAAAGGUGGCCUCUGCAUAUGCUACUGCAUGAAGAGGGGUCUGCGUACCAUUAGCUAGUAGGUGGGGUAAUGGCCUACCUAGGCGACGAUGGUUAGCGGGUCUGAGAGGAUGAUCCGCCACACUGGCACUGGAACACGGGCCAGACUCCUACGGGAGGCAGCAGUGAGGAAUAUUGCGCAAUGGGGGAAACCCUGACGCAGCGACGCCGCGUGAGUGAAGGAAGGCCUUCGGGUCGUAAAGCUCUGUCAAGAGGAAAGAAGUGUACAAUGGCUAAUACCUGUUGUAUUUGACGGUACCUCUAAAGGAAGCACCGGCUAACUCCGUGCCAGCAGCCGC